UAUGGCUGAGGUUUGGCGGCUGCUCAGGGAGCACAUUCCACUCUUCCGAGCCUCCAAGGAGUGCCUUGCUCCUUUCCGGAAGGACUGAACUGCUCCCUCCCUUAAGGCAUUUUGCGGAAUCACCCAUCAAAGCCCAUCAGCUGCCCCUGCAUUUCCAGGUGGUGUGCAUUUGGCUCAGAUGAGCCUGGAGCAUGGUGGAUCCCUGUGAGCUGACUUGAUCCAAACACUGCUCCCUGUUUUGAAGACCAUGAGCUGAUCUUGGGAGAGGAAAGUUGUGAGGAGAAGUCGGGGGACAACUUGAAUAACAAGGAUUUGAUUUAAGCAUCAGUGUUGGACAAGAAGAUGCUGGGGUCGAAUCAUCAGAAGAAGCCGGAUAACUCACCACAGUAAAUAUGCUGAGAGAGAAGAUGUCUGCUAUACGUGGGACCAGUGGAUACCCAGAACACCUCUCCUCCGCGGAGCUUCGGAAGAACCACAGUGUCCC